AUAUCUUACAUUCAGGAGUCUCUUAUCAUUUUCAAACCUUCUACUAUCUUGAAGUCUUUUGCAACUAUUUAUAAAUAUGACUUGCACUAUCGGUAUCCCAUACCCAGAUAGUAGUAUUACCAAUAGAGAAACUUCAAAGAGUUAUCACAUAACAUCUUGACCAGCAAUGAUUUGCUAAUUUCUCUUUUAAGCCUAUUUGGGUUAGCCUG
rnacentral:lncRNA from 1 species